rnacentral:rRNA from 1 species
AACGAACGCUGGCGGCAUGCCUAACACAUGCAAGUCGAACGAGACCUUCGGGUCUAGUGGCGCACGGGUGCGUAACGCGUGGGAACCUGCCCUUAGGUUCGGAAUAACUCCCCGAAAGGGGUGCUAAUACCGGAUAAUGUCUUCGGACCAAAGAUUUAUCGCCUUUGGAUGGGCCCGCGUUGGAUUAGCUAGUUGGUAGGGUAAAAGCCUACCAAGGCGACGAUCCAUAGCUGGUCUGAGAGGAUGAUCAGCCACACUGGGACUGAGACACGGCCCGAACUCCUGAGGAGGGGAGCAGGGGGGAAAAAGGGACAUCGGGCGAAGGCUGAAUCAAGCAGGGCCGGGUAAGGAUGUAAGGCCUUAGGGUUAAAAAGCUUUUUAACCCGGGGGGUUAAUAAGGGACCGGAAGAAUAAAGCCCCGCCUAACACCGG